AACGAACGCUGGCGGCAGGCUUAACACAUGCAAGUCGAACGGGUGUAGCAAUACAUCAGUGGCAGACGGGUGAGUAACACGUGGGAACCUUCCUAGGGGUACGGAACAACUCAGGGAAACUUGAGCUAAUACCGUAUACGUCCGUGAGGAGAAAGAUUUAUCGCCCUUAGACGGGCCCGCGUCGGAUUAGCUAGUUGGUGGGGUAACGGCCUACCAAGGCGACGAUCCGUAGCUGAUCUUAGAGGAUGAUCAGCCACACUGGGACUGAGACACGGCCCAGACUCAUCCGGGGGGCAGCAGUGGGUAAUCGUGGACAAUGGGCGCAAGCCUGAUCCAGCCAUGCCGCGUGAGUGAAGAAGGUCUUCGGAUUGUAAAGCUCUUUUGCCAGGGACGAUAAUGACGGUACCUGGAGAAUAAGCCCCGGCAAACUUCGUGCCAGCCGCCGCCGUAA
rnacentral:rRNA from 1 species